rnacentral:rRNA from 1 species
ACUCCUACGGGAGGCAGCAGUGGGGAAUAUUGGACAGUGGGCGCAAGCCUGAUCCAGCCAUGCCGCGUGAAUGAUGAAGGCCCUAGGGUUGUAAAGCUCUUUCACCGGUGAAGAUAAUGACGGUAACCGGAGAAGAAGCCCCGGCUAACUUCGUGCCAGCAGCCGCGGUAAUACGAAGGGGGCUAGCGUUGUUCGGAUUUACUGGGCGUAAAGCGCACGUAGGCGGACUAUUAAGUCAGGGGUGAAAUCCCGGGGCUCAACCCCGGAACUGCCUUUGAUACUGGUAGUCUUGAGUUCGAGAGAGGUGAGUGGAAUUCCGAGUGUAGAGGUGAAAUUCGUAGAUAUUCGGAGGAACACCAGUGGCGAAGGCGGCUCACUGGCUCGAUACUGACGCUGAGGUGCGAAAGCGUGGGGAGCAAACAGGAUUAGAAACCCCGGUAGUCCCAUGAU